rnacentral:lncRNA from 1 species
UCAGUCCGGAGGGGCAACUCCGGCGUUCGGGACUCCGGCGAGGACCGAUGGUAGGUGGACCGGCGCCGGGCGAACAGGCGACAGCAGCAGGUCGCGGGUGGUGCGCUGCAGGCGUCGGACGAGCGAGCAGGAACGAACGGCAGGCGAAACUCGACUGCUGCAGGGCGUCCCUGGCGGAGCUCGGGCACUGGAUCAGCUGAAGCGGAUCACCGGCGAAGGUAGGGCAGCGGACGUACGUACGGUGGCUCGGCGUUCGAAUCUGGAGCAGCGGAAGGCGAAGAAUGCAGGGGCGUCGGGUCGCAGCUGCUGGGGCGAAGAUCGACGGCUGAGCAGCAGCGGUGUGAGCUCCUGUGGCGUCGGGUCGCAGCAGGGACAGAGGCGUGGCAGGGAGGCUCACGGGCUUCUGCAGGUCGUGUUCGGUGGGGGUUGCAGCAGGAGGAUCAGCAGCAGGUCGAACGGAGGCGUGGCUCUUCGUGGUCCCGGGAGUGGCGGUGAUGCUCGGGGUUCCAGCGACUGCAAGUCAGCAACUGCGGCGGUGCGACAGCGGGCGCGGCGACGGGCAGGACUCAGUGACUGGUACUGCAGCUUGCGGGCGACGCUCGUGGGUUCGAGAUGUAGGAGGCGGGCGAGCGAAGGCCCGGAACUACAGCGGCACCGGCGUUCGGAACUCGCCGGAAGGAGGGAGUCGGCGGCAGCAGGCGUUGGUGGCGGGCAGGGUGCUACGACAGGGGCUCGGAACUCUGGCGAUGGGCGUUGCAGGGACAAGUGGAGGUCGUCGGGCGCUGGGUUGCAGGAAGAGCACGGCGAGCUGCUGUGGCACCGGUGCUCGGGCGGAGGGUUGCAGACGGCGGCUCGUGGAGGAAGCGUGGUGACGAACUGCUGGUCGCUCAGGUGAAGGGGGAGCUCGGACGGUUGCAGGGUUCCACGAAGCUACUG